ensembl:lncRNA
GUUUACCCUGUAGGUAUCCUCUCAGUUUACCCUGUAGGUAUCCUCUCAGUUUACCCUGUAGGUAUCGGUCAGUGUACCCUGUAGGUAUCGGUCAGUGUACCCUGUAGGUAUCGGUCAGUGUACCCUGUAGGUAUCGGUCAGUGUACCCUGUAGGUAUCGGUCAGUUUACCCUGUAGGUAUCGGUCAGUUUACCCUGUAGGUAUCGGUCAGUUUACCCUGUAGGUAUCGGUCAGUUUACCCUGUAGGUAUCAGUCAGUUUACCCUGUAGGUAUCGGUCAGUGUACCCUGUAGGUAUCGGUCAGUGUACCCUGUAGGUAUCGGUCAGUGUACCCUGUAGGUAUCGGUCAGUUUACCCUGUAGGUAUCGGUCAGUGUACCCUGUAGGUAUCCUCUCAGUUUACCCUGUAGGUAUCGGUCAGUGUACCCUGUAGGUAUCGGUCAGUUUACCCUGUAGGUAUCCUCUCAGUGUACCCUGUAGGUAUCGGUCAGUGUACCCUGUAGGUAUCCUCUCAGUUUACCCUAUUUGAAAGCUGAGUUGGAUUAGAGCUACGGCUUUAUGCUACUGGAGUUGAGUUGGAUUAGAGCUACGGCCUUAUGCUACUGGAGUUGAGUUGGAUUAGAGCUACGGCGUUAUGCUACUGGAGUUGAGUUGGAUUAGAGCUACGGCGUUAUGCUACUGGAUUUGAGUUGGAUUAGAGCUACGGCGUUAUGCUACUGGAGUUGCAUUGUACGGGACUUAAUGUGCGUGCAUGGUGUGAAUAUCGGGUUACCAAUCCAAUGCUCUAAACCUGAUAUUUGAAAAUAAGACAUUUUAGAAAUGAAUUGAAAUGAUUAAGUAUAGAGUACGUUGAAGUUUCUACUUUAUCCAUAUUUAUAACAUAUUUUUUAUCUCCUGAAAUUCCACACCAUUGAUUUAAUGUGUCUUACUGUUAAAGGUGUUGAAAGAUAUACAGUACAGACUAACCACAUGUGUUUUCCGUUUUUAGUUCUCUCUCUGAAAUACAACAGAACCUGAUGUCCCACCAUUCAUGUGACAUGUAUGGUAGGUUACUGUAAAUGUGACAAUGUGACAUGUCUGGUAGGUUACUGUAAAUGUGACAUGUCUGGUAGGUUACUGUAAAUGUGACAUGUCUGGUAGGUUACUGUAAAUGUGACAUGUCUGGUAGGUUACUGUAAAUGUGACAUGUCUGGUAGGUUACUGUAAAUGUGACAUGUCUGGUAGGUUACUGUAAAUGUGACAUGUCUGGUAGGUUACUGUAAAUGUGACAUGUCUGGUAGGUUACUGUAAAUGUGACAUGUCUGGUAGGUUACUGUAAAUGGCAGGGUUCAAACCGUGUAUUACAAUACCCACAGCUCUUACAUUCUGAAGCACAACUCUAGUUUCAGAACGCUGGUUGUAAAUAUUGUCUCGUGUUACUGUACAUUUGAAUUAGGCUGACUUGAUCGUCUUUCCAUUGGUUUAAUGUCAAUUUAAAACUGUCAUUUUGAAUUGUAUGACUGCAAGGUAUGUUUAGAUUUGUUUUGUGUACGUAAGAUCAUUAACACAUAUUGUCGUGCAGCACGAUAUACACUUGGAGAAUUUGUACAUUACAGGGCUAUUUUAACGGCAAUGGUUGAAAAAAUAUGACGUUGCUCAGAAUAUCACUCUAAUCUUGGGUUUUAUGCGGUUGAUUUAUUAAAAUAAAUGAUAUUCUGUUGCUGUAAAGGAACUGAUCUGCUGUUGAAUAUCUUCUGAUAAUGGUGGUUAACAAAAAACUACAACAAACUUUUGGUCAAUUCAGGUUUUUCUUCUACUUUGUUCAUUUUUUAAUGUGUACAUUUAUUAUUAUUAUUAUUAUAUUUUUUUUUUGCGUUUGGUUUUGAUAUUACAUACAGACAGGAAAUCCAAGUUUGCUCACUUACAUGAGUGGUCAAAAGUAGUGCACUACAUAGGGAAUAGGAUGCCAUUUUGAACUAAAUUAGAGUAGAUUAAUACGUUGUGUGUGUGUGUGGCAGGGAACAUAGUCCCUGUGGUGCAGGGUAGGCAACCCUGUUCCUGAAGGGCUUCAGGUACAGCAGGAUCUGGUUCCAACUACGCGCCACAUCUGACCAACUGAGCUAAUUGAUCAGUUCAGUGAUUGCCUAAAUUCAUCACACCUGGUCUUCUAGGUUGUUUAAGUCCAAACAUGAGGUGCUUGUGGGAGGGUUGCCUUACCCUACUGUGGUGCUAUGAUAAAGGCCCUAUUCAGGAAGUGUCUCAUAAAUGGCUAAUACAGUCUUGUGACCGCUGACCUGGAUUCGAAUCCUAGUCGGUGUCACCUUUCACACAGCACCAGGACCUGUAGUCUUAAAGCAUCUCACAGUAGGAGUGCUGAUCUAGAAUCAGUGUAUGCUUUUACAUCAUAAUAAUUACAGUAUAUGGACAGGAUCGAUCUGCUCCUAGAUCAGCACUUAUAUUCUAAGACGCUUUGUGAAUAUGGGCCCAGAGUUAAAUUAAUAGAUUCUUGGAUGUGGUAUUUCUGUAAAAAAAAAAAAAAUCUGUAUUUGGGAAUAUUUUUGUACAAAUCUGAAUCGG